AUUCCUAUUGUUAGCUGCAAAUGGAAGUUACAUGAUGUAUUUUGUAGUGAUUUUGGUCUGAAUCAAAAAUCUGCUGUAGAACCGCAGCGUCAUUAAAAAUAAAAUAAAACACGUGCAAACGCUGCAUGGCUCAUUUUCAAAGCUAAGGCUAAUUAAAAUAGUUGUGAAGCAUCAUGGCGCAGGACAUAGCCUAUCGGUCACUCUUUCCACUGAGAAUAAACGAAACCUAAAAUUAACACCUGAUUGUGGAUGAAUUUACCGACAGGUCCGAAGAGUGCAACUAAAAUGAACACCAGGCAUUUCCUGAAGCCAUUAAAGCAGAGGAGGUGUGAAGUAUAUUAAUGAAAGAGGAUGCAUCCCACCUCACAAGGUCUGCAAAGGCUUGCAUCUAAUGUGAUGGAUAAAGCAUUCAAAAAGCAUCCAUAAAGACUACAGUGGCACAGAGCCCUCUGGCCUGUACAACUGAUUGACCAGCAUGACAGCAAAACAGCAUCUACUAUUGAUAUCCUGGUAGGUAGCAAAUUUUGGGGCUGCUGUUUAGUUGAAUAAUGGUAUUCGGCAUCAGCUCCCAUUCCGCAAUAACGUUAUUUGCUAGGGAUGAUUUUAUGUGAUGACUCUAAAUCAAAUAAAACUAGCAGAAAUAAGUUUUUCUCUCAUCACAGUGACGGAUGCAUUCUCUUUAUCUUCACAAUACAUGAGUAAAAGAAUCAUACUAUCAUUUAUUUCAUUAGCUUAAUGAUGUGUGAGAGUUUUUGUCUAAAUCUAGUGACUGGCCUCACUGCCAUUGUCACCCAAACAACCUUACAGUUGGACCUCAUAUGAGAAACAAUAACAUAAUAUUGCUUUAAAAUAUUUAUGUUUUUAAGAAAACCUUAUUGACUAUAAUUGAAUGGCUGAAUAUGAAUCUUUAAUUACACUUCUUGUGAUAAAUGGCUUGAUGGCUCACUGUUUUUACUUGAUCACUGUUUUUAAUAUGCAAUUAAAGGAGCUGGUGAUAAUUGCUUAAGGUUUUCAGGAGUGCUUUUUUAGAUAUUAGAUUUUAGAAACAAUCUGUGUUGAAAAAAAAAAAAACUUUCAAAACGGG
ensembl:lncRNA